UAUGUGAUCGUCUCUCGCAUAUCAAUAAGCGGAGGAAAAGAAACUAACAAGGAUUCCCCUAGUAACGGCGAGUGAAGCGGGAAGAGCUCAAAUUUGAAAUCUUAAAGGGUUUCCCUUUACGAAUUGUAGUUUAAAGAAGUGUUUUCUGUUGAGGUUUUGGUAAAAGUUCUUUGGAAUAGGACAUCAUAGAGGGUGAGAAUCCCGUAUUUGACCUUUACUUUCAACUUUGUGAUACACUUUCAAAGAGUCGGAUUGUUCGGGAAUGCAGUCCAAAAUGGGUGGUAAAUUUCAUCUAAAGCUAAAUAUUGGCGAGAGACCGAUAGCGAACAAGUACCGUGAGGGAAAGAUGAAAAGAACUUUGAAAAGAGAGUUAAACAGUACGUGAAAUUGUCAAAAGGGAAGCGUUUGACACCAGUGUUGUUUUUCUGAAAAUCAAUUAAAGAACUGUUUAUGCUAAGCUGUUUAGACUUUAUCAGCUAAUCUGUUUAGUUUUGAGCUUUUCUUUAAUGCACUUUUCAGUUAACAAGUCAACAUCAAUUUCUUUUGCUGUAAAAAAGCUUGAGGAAGGUGGCUUGAGAUUCGUCUUAAGUGUUUAUAGCCUCUUGCCUAUGCAGUCGGAGAGAUUGAGGUCUGCAGCGUAGAUCCUUCGGGGCUAAAUGCAUUUGUGCUAAGUUAUAGCAUUUUAUAGACAACUUGUUGACUAUGAUUUGUCUUGUAGCUUACUCGCUUAUGUUAUUUUACCUACGCUUAGGAUGUUGAGUAGCGACAUACGCAC
rnacentral:rRNA from 1 species